CUCGUAGGCGGUCCGUCGCGUCGGAAGUGAAAACCUGGGGCUCAACUCCAGGCCUGCUUUCGAUACGGGCAGACUUGAGUGCGGUAGGGGAGACUGGAACUCCUGGUGUAGCGGUGGAAUGCGCAGAUAUCAGGAAGAACACCGAUGGCGAAGGCAGGUCCCUGGGCCGUUACUGACGCUGAGGAGCGAAAGCAUGGGGAGCGAACA
rnacentral:rRNA from 1 species